rnacentral:rRNA from 1 species
GAUGAACGCUAGCUACAGGCUUAACACAUGCAAGUCGAGGGGAAACGGCAUUGAGUGCUUGCACUCUUUGGACGUCGACCGGCGCACGGGUGAGUAACGCGUAUCCAACCUUCCCAUUACUGUGGGAUAACCUGCCGAAAGGCAGACUAAUACCGCAUAGUCUUCGAUGACGGCAUCAGAUUUGAAGUAAAGAUUUAUCGGUAAUGGAUGGGGAUGCGUCUGAUUAGCUUGUUGGCGGGGUAACGGCCCACCAAGGCGACGAUCAGUAGGGGUUCUGAGAGGAAGGUCCCCCACAUUGGAACUGAGACACGGUCCAAACUCCUACGGGAGGCAGCAGUGAGGAAUAUUGGUCAAUGGACGGAAGUCUGAACCAGCCAAGUAGCGUGCAGGAUGACGGCCCUAUGGGUUGUAAACUGCUUUUGUAUGGGGAUAAAGUUAGGGACGUGUCCCUAUUUGCAGGUACCAUACGAAUAAGGACCGGCUAAUUCCGUGCCAGCAGCCGCGGUAAUACGGAAGGUCCAGGCGUUAUCCGGAUUUAUUGGGUUUAAAGGGAGCGUAGGCUGGAUAUUAAGUGUGUUGUGAAAUGUAGACGCUCAACGUCUGACUUGCAGCGCAUACUGGUUUCCUUGAGUACGCACAACGUUGGCGGAAUUCGUCGUGUAGCGGUGAAAUGCUUAGAUAUGACGAAGAACUCCGAUUGCGAAGGCAGCUGACGGGAGCGCAACUGACGCUUAAGCUCGAAGGUGCGGGUAUCAAACAGG